UACGAAGGGGGCUAGCGUUGCUCGGAAUCACUGGGCGUAAAGGGUGCGUAGGCGGGUCUUUUAAGUCAGGGGUGAAAUCCUGGAGCUCAACUCCAGAACUGCCUUUGAUACUGAGGAUCUUGAGUUCGGGAGAGGUGAGUGGAACUGCGAGUGUAGAGGUGAAAUUCGUAGAUAUUCGCAAGAACACCAGUGGCGAAGGCGGCUCACUGGCCCGAUACUGACGCUGAGGCACGAAAGCGUGGGGAGCAAGCAGG
rnacentral:rRNA from 1 species